UUUUUUUAACGAUAAGUUUAUUAGUUGCCAGUAUCUUUUUUUGACGACAAAGAAUUGACAACAAGGACGGCUUAUUACUGUAAUAGAAUUAACGAUAAUUGAAUUACUACAACUGAAUACUUUCGUACGAGCCUCGAACGAAAUAGGUUAAAUAUUUGACGAGCGUUAAUAGAGUGCUUUUGUUCGAAAUUAAUAGAUUACCCUUCGUUACAUUCGGUCAUCUUCGAUUAUUCCGUUUAUGUACUCGGAUGUGUGGUUGUUGAGCAUUGGAAACAAUUGAAGAUUGCCUGUCUUCAAAUCCCCAGUAUCGCUGUUGCUGAAACAAGUUUAUAGGGAAGUGGAAAUAAAC